rnacentral:rRNA from 1 species
CCCUUAGAUGUUCUGGGCUGCACGCGCGCUACACUGAAGCGUUCAACGAGUAUUCACCUUGCCCGGGAGGGUUGGGUAAUCUUUUGAAAACGCUUCGUGAUGGGGAUAGAUUAUUGCAAUUAUUAAUCUUCAACGAGGAAUGCCUAGUAAGCGCAAGUCAUCAGCUUGCGUUGAUUGCGUCCCUGCCCUUUGUACACACCGCCCGUCGCUCCUACCGAUUGAAUGGUCCGGUGAAGCGUUCGGACCGUGGCCUUUGGACGGUUCGCCGUCUGUUGGCUGCGGGAAGUUCGUUAAACCUUAUCAUUUAGAGGAAGGAGAAGUCGUAACA